AGGCAUCUCUGACAGACCUGGAGUAGUUAAUGUCUGUUGCUAAGGUUUCCACUACAGAUGCAAAAAAGAGAAGGUCCUUAUGCUUUCUGUCUGUUUGGUUGUAGCAGCCAAGAUUGAAUGGGGAAUAUAGGA
rnacentral:snoRNA from 1 species